UAAGCGGCAGCUUUAACAUGCAAGUCGACGGCAGCGCGAGAGAGCUUGCUCUCUUGGCGGCGAGUGGCGGACGGGUGAGUAAUAUAUCGGAACGUGCCCAGUAGCGGGGGAUAACUACUCGAAAGAGGCUAAUACCGCAUACGCCCUACGGGGGAAAGGGGGGGAUCGCAAGACCUCUCACUAUUGGAGCGGCCGAUAUCGGAUUAGCUAGUUGGUGGGGUAAAGGCUCACCAAGGCAACGAUCCGUAGCUGGUGAGAGGACGACCAGCCACACUGGGACUGAGACACGGCCCAGACUCCUACGGGAGGCAGCAGUGGGGAAUUUUGGACAAUGGGGGAAACCCUGAUCCAGCCAUCCCGCGUGUAUGAUGAAGGCCUUGGUUGUAAAGUACUUUUGGCAGAGAAGAAAAGGUAUCCCCUAAUACGGGAUACUGCUGACGGUAUCUGCAGAAUAAGCACCGGCUAACUACGUGCCAGCAGCCGCGGUAAUACGUAGGGUGCAAGCUUAUCGGAAUUACUGGGCGUAAAGCGUGUGUAGGCGGUUCGGAAAGAAAGAUGUGAAAUCCCAGGGCUCAACCUUGGAACUGCAUUUUUAACUGCCGAGCUAGAGUAUGUCAGAGGGGGGUAGAAUCCACUGUAGCAGUGAAAUGCGUAGAUAUGUGGAGGAAUACCGAUGGCGAAGGCAGCCCCCUGGGAUAAUACUGACGCUCAGACACGAAAGCGUGGGGAGCAAACAGGAUUAGAUACCCUGGUAGUCACGCCUAAACGAUGUCAACUAGCUGUUGGGGCCGUUAGGCCUUAGUAGCGCAGCUAACGCGUGAAGUUGACCGCCUGGGGAGUACGGUCGCAAGAUUAAAACUCAAAGGAAUUGACGGGGACCCGCCAAGCGUGGAUGAUGUGGAUUAAUUCGAUGCAACGCGAAAAACCUUACCUACCCUUGACAUGUCUGGAAAGCCGAAGAGAUUUGGCCGUGCUCGCAAGAGAACCGGAACACAGGUGCUGCAUGGCUUCGUCAGUCGUGUCGUGAGAUGUUGGGUUAAGUCCCGCAACGAGCGCAACCCUUGUCAUUAGUUGCUACGCAAGAGCACUCUAAUGAGACUGCCGGUGACAAACCGGAGGAAGGUGGGGAUGACGUAAGUCCUCUGGCCCUUAUGGGUAGGGCUUCACACGUCAUACAAUGGUCGGGACAGAGGGUCGCCAACCCGCGAGGGGGAGCCAAUCUCAGAAACCCGAUCGUAGUCCGGAUCGCAGUCUGCAACUCACUGCGUGAGUCGGAAUCGCUAGUAAUCGCGGAUCAGAAUGUCGCGGUGAAUACGUUCCCGGGUCUUGUACACACCGCCCGUCACACCAUGGGAGUGGGUUUCACCAGAAGUAGGUAGCCUAACCGAAGGAGGGCGUUACCACGGUGGGAUUCAUGACUGGGGUGAAGUCGUAACAACGAGCCGUUG
rnacentral:rRNA from 1 species